UACGAAGGGGGCUAGCGUUGCUCGGAAUUACUGGGCGUAAAGGGUCCGUAGGUGGCUUGCUAAGUCAGACGUGAAAUCCCUCAGCUUAACUGGGGAACUGCGUGUGAGACUGGCAGGCUCGAGGGCAGGAGAGGAACGCGGAAUUCCAGGUGUAGCGGUGAAAUUCGUAGAUAUCGGGAGGAACACCGGUGGCGAAGGCGGCGACCUGGGUUGACAUUGACGCUGAGGCGCGAAAGCGUGGGGAGCAAACAGG
rnacentral:rRNA from 1 species